UUUAGGUUCAGCGGUCGCACCAUGUUUGAAGAUGAAAACAACUGAGUUGGAAUCCAUCAAAAUUCUGAGUUGUUUUCAUCUGUUGACUUUCAAAGCCUGGAACUUAGCGAAGACGCAUACGUUUUCGAACAAAACAGAUGAAAACAACUCAGAAAGUUCCGAAAACCAGUGUUGAUUGUUGGGAUGCGAUGGUCGGAAACAGUUGACGAAUUUAUCAAGCAAUCUCCACGGAAGCCAUCAUUCACAACUAUCAGCUCAAAAAAGACAAAGUGUGCUGGCGGGUGAGGGUGCCAAGUGAGACAGCACGUAGUUCCACCAGCUGGAUGCAGUCAAACGGCCCGGUGGCACUAAUUUUUUUGUGGUAAAAACAACCGGAUAAAAAUGCAG